GUGAGUGGGUCGCACGGAGCGU
rnacentral:miRNA from 1 species